CCUACGGGGGGCUGCAGUGGGGAAUAUUGGACAAUGGGGGCAACCCUGAUCCAGCCAUGCCGCGUGUGUGAAGAAGGCCCUCGGGUUGUAAAGCACUUUCAGUGAGGAAGAACGCCUGGUGGUUAAUACCCAUCAGGAAAGACAUCACUCACAGAAGAAGCACCGGCUAACUCCGGGCCAGCAGCCGCGGUAAUACGGAGGGUGCGAGCGUUAAUCGGAAUUACUGGGCGUAAAGCGCGCGUAGGUGGCUUGAUAAGCCGGUUGUGAAAGCCCCGGGCUCAACCUGGGAACGGCAUCCGGAACUGUCAAGCUAGAGUGCAGGAGAGGAAGGUAGAAUUCCCGGUGUAGCGGUGAAAUGCGUAGAGAUCGGGAGGAACACCAGUGGCGAAGGCGGCCUUCUGGACUGACACUGACACUGAGGUGCGAAAGCGUGGGUAGCAAACAGGAUUAGAUACCCCGGUAGUC
rnacentral:rRNA from 1 species